rnacentral:rRNA from 1 species
UGGCUCGAGUGGCGGACGGGUGAGUAACACGUGAGUAACCUGCCCUUGACUUGGGAUAACUUCAGGAAACUGGGGCUAAUACCGGAUAGGAGCUCCUGCUGCAUGGUGGGGGUUGGAAAGUUUCGGCGGUUGGGGAUGGACUCGCGGCUUAUCAGCUUGUUGGUGGGGUGUGGCUUACCAAGGCUUUGACGGGUAGCCGGCCUGAGAGGGUGACCGGCCACAUUGGGACUGAGAUACGGCCCAG